rnacentral:snoRNA from 1 species
CUCUGUGAUGACUCCAUGACACGAAAGGCAUUCCUCAAACUUAAUACCCAUGUCGAACCUGUCUAUUAUAAGUUUCAGCCUUGUCUGAUU